UCGAGGAGAAGGUGCGUUUGAUUCCGACCCUUUGGCUGAAACUCGAGGAGAAGGUGCGUUUGAUUCCGACCCUUUUGCUGAAACUCAGGGAGGAGGUGCGUUUGAUUCCGACCCUUUUGCUGAAACUCAGGGAGGAGGUGCGUUUGAUUCCGACCCUUUUGCUGAAGCUCGAGAAGGUGCGUUUGAUUCCGACCCUUUUGCUGAAACUCAGGGAGGAGGUGCGUUUGAUUCUGACCCUUU